UGUGAGCCUACCCACACCGACAUCCUCCCGAAUUAGGCAUCCAAGUGCUCAUGGGGACGUGGGCUGGACAGAAGCAGUACCUCUGGGGGCAAGUUUGGGAAAGACCCUGGGGCUGUAACUACAUGAAGAGUACGUGAAGAAAAGUGUCCUUGAGUGCAACUGAGGCUGGCGGUCAACAUUAGCAUCUUCUGACAAAAAUAAAUAAGCUUUUAUUGGAGCCUGUGUGGAGUCCAAGUAGAAAAGACUGCAUGAAGGCUGCUCCCUGCCUGCGUGGCUGGCUGGGACCUGUCCCCUCUCGGGGCCACAGCACCCGUGGCUCCAAAAUGUGUACGGGCACUGGCAGCUGGGGAACAUCUCGCCAUAGGGUACGUCUGUGCUCAUCACUAUUUUGAAAGGCUGAGGGAUGAAGAAGCUCUGGGAGACGCAAGGGAUGGAAUCGGUGCGUGACACCAACAGAGGGAAGAGGAAAGUUAAGAAAGGGAGAAGCAUCUGGAAAGAAAGAAGGGCCAGUAGUUGAGGUAAAGCUGCUGGGAGGUGAAGCUGCUAGAGCAGGCCCAGUGAUAAGUCAAAGAAAACGCUAGAUAAAAGCUGUCGAGGUAUAUUCAGAAAAGCCCAAUGUUUGCAUGCUAGGAAGCGGCACACACCCUACAUGCUCCGUGCACUGCCUGGGAGAAAGAAACUGAGGGGAAGGGAAGGAGGAACAAGUGGAAAACAGCUCGUAGGAGUUUGCGUGGGGAAGAUGUGCUUGCCUUGCAAGAAGUGACGUGGUUUCAGUGCCCAUUUCCUUCUUCCUUCCUUGCACAUCCCCGUGCUCUAGGACACGAGGAGGGAAGUGCGAUGCGUGUAUAGAUGAGGAAGGAGACGAGAAAGCAGACUCUCCUUUUUAAUGUUGUUAUUUUGACACAUUUCAAACCUCAAAACCUUCUGUGCAUCUCACAGCGGAUUACAUGUAAAUGCCUGUUGGUAUUUAUAUGCCCCACGGCUUUAUUUCGAAGUCCGUUUAAUAGCGUUUUCACCUUGAAGGAGGUUCAUUAAACUUGCUUUGCUGCAGUUUGCCAUCCAGGAGAUAAUCUGCAGGCUGUUGCCACCCUAAUGCUAUGAUGGCUCGUGUGCCAUUAAAAUGGCUCAGAAGUGCCCGUCUAUAGAUCCUCAGCGCAAUACAUUGUGGCAGCGUACAGUAUAGAUCCCUUAAUCCAUAGACUAUUAUUAAAAUAGUGGAUUAAGGAGUUGGUUGGGAUCAGACCCUGCUGUAUAUGUAACAAAACAGUUUAGCUGAGAUUAGUAUUUAUUACUGGACAGAAAAAUUGAUUGAAGGAUGCGUAGACGCUGAUAAUAUCACAGCCUGGGAGACACUGAUGGAUUUGAUUAUUGUUUUUUGGCCAUACGAGUCCUUGUUAAGACCUGAGAAUAAAAUGUUCACUUUUAGUGAAGAUGUAACAAUUGAAUAACAGGAGUAAAUCUAUUAUUUAUUAACAUAUUUUUACUUCAUGCUAAUAUAAAAUGUGGUGCUUAGAUGCUUUAAAACACAUCGUGUGAGAACGUGCACAGAAAGGGCAUUCAGUUUCUUCUGAAAUAGUAACUUCAAAAACAUUUUCUGAAGAGUUCACACGAUGUUAUGUGAAUCACCGUCAACUUCAUCUAACCCAAAGCGAACUGGAAAGCAUGUAUUUUUCCGUGCAAUUUUCUCCUGUCAGCAGUCUUUCCGAAUUUGUCAGAAGGGGAAGUUUUACCCAGCCAUGUGUUAAAGUUUAACUGACUACGACGGUCGCAGUGCUACAGAGCUAUCUGUAACGCAACAGAAGGCUGUCAACAAGCCUUUUCAGUGACAUCUCCACAUUAGGAUGGCAAGCAGAUGAUUUGAGGAUUACCAGGCUGCUGGACAGUUUUCAGGUCCAGCUCCUGCAUCUUUGCAGCCCCUGGACAUACGAGGAGAUGGUUUGUAAGAAGCUUACGAAACCCCACGCAGAAGGGCACAGUGACUGGAGCUGGCACAAGGCAUCACUUUGGGAGCAAGCACGAGUUGCACGUAAGGAAGACACAACGAUGGUUGUGCCCAGAGGGGAACUGAAAGCCUUCGUGUUCCAGAAGGUGGCACCUGAAGCCACGUGGACGAAAGGACAGACCUUCAGCAGCCUUUCAGAGCAGCUCAGAGAGCAGCACUACUGCAGUCGUGUUCAAAGAACCAGGGAAUCAGCCCUGGCAAACCAGAGGGAAAAAAUACCUAGAAAAAAGCUGGUGUGCUUUGCUGAACCAACUUCCCCACGCUGCUCUCUGUGAGACAAGGUUCAAGGAGCAUCCAAUGUUUAUCUAACCCGAAACUGAAAGAUCUGUACACAGUAGCUGUUACUUCUCAUUAAUUUUAUUGAAGCCCUUUAUAAUUUAGCCCUGUGGUACUAGCAGGUUGGAUUAACUUACUGCUAGUUUCAGAAGUUACACUCCACUUUGUCAUCAUAAAAGAAAGAAACACUUCAAGAAGGCUUAGAGAAGUUCAAUCGAGCCUACCCACAAUUCUCAGACUUUCCAUAAUUUUUCACCAUUCUGAGUCCUAACGUAAAAGGCUGCAGUAAUUCAUGCUUUCACUGCAAAAGGGAAAAACAAACAAACAAAAAAAAUCCACAAACAAACAAACAA